AUGAGAACCCAUUGGAACACACUGUAGGGGUGUUUCACUGCAAAAGCUUGGCAUAGACAACUGGAGCAAACGAGGGAUUUUUCUUCAAAACCAGCACAGAGAAACAAGACAAUGUCAAAGAAAAGGGCAACAAGUAGAUAAUCAGUACCAAUUUCUUUUCUUUCCUCCAACUCCCUCUUGCUCCCAUGACCCAGUUUCUUGUCCAAAGGUAGGAAUCGUAAGAGUGUACAGAAAUAAGUCACAUGCAGACCACAUUGAAAUAUGCAGAGAAUUCCGUGGAGACUCUGAUGGCUAGGUAAGCUCACUUUAGCUGCACAUCCACAUCAAGAAGGUGAAGGAGACAAUUCUGGGAUAAUAAAGCUCUAGGAAGUAUGUAUCUGCCAUAUAUAAGUCAGAGCUUCAGAAUCAAGCCAAGUGAUGAUGAAAGAUGUCGUGGUCCUCCUAACUGAUUCAGAACAUCUGGGCACCGUUGAGCUGUUGCAACUGUUCUGCUAACCAGGAAAAAUGUCUGCAUCCUAGGAAAAGGAUGUCUGUCCUCAAGGCUCAGCAGAAGGAAGAGUCGGAGUUGGAUCAUUGUCAUGUACAGCCCUGGCCACCCUCCUGCAUGCUGGAUUCCAUAUCUGGAUAUUUAACUGGAUAUCCUGUGUCAGAUAUCCCUUCUCUGAUGAUAUUUCUGUUGCUCAGUAAAUUGAUCAUCCUAUCCUCUGACCCAUUCUACACUGUAGUACUUGUAUUUCCACAUUAUAUUUAGCUAAGACAGCUUUUCUCCCUGUUGUCUGCCUGUAAAUUCACUCGUAUUUUAAGAACCACAUCAAACAUCACCUCCUUCAUAAAGUCUUUUCUUUCUCCUCAGGCGGAAUUAAACAUUCCCUUUUGUGUCUCCCUGUGUAUGCUGUA
rnacentral:lncRNA from 1 species